GUGAAUCAUCGAAUCUUUGAACGCACAUUGCGCCCUUUGGUAUUCCGAAGGGCAUGCCUGUUCGAGCGUCAUUUAAACUCUCAAGCCCAGCUUGGUGUUGGGAGAGGUCCCCGGACCCUCCUGCAACUCGUUGGCGUGAGCACCGCGACUUCAAGCGUAGCAAAUCACUCGCUUAGCUGUCCUGUGCCCGUCGCCAGUCAACGAAAUCUUUCAAAGUUUGACCUCGGAUCAGGUAGGGAUACCCGCUGAACUUAAGCAUAUCAAUAAGCGGAGGA
rnacentral:misc_RNA from 1 species